rnacentral:lncRNA from 1 species
UGUAAGGGAGCUACUAUUUGAUUUUUAUGGGGGGGCUAGGAUGAAAUUUGAAAAAAAUAGGCAGGACAGGAGUUUUGAGUAAAAAAAAAGGCAGGAUGAGACACUUGCAAAAAAAAAAGUCAGGACAACAAUUUAGGUAAGAAAAAGUCAGGAUAACCUAAAAAAAAAAAAAGGCAGGACCGAACAGAGUAAAAAAUAAAAAGGCAGGACAAAAUUUUUCAUCCUAGCCCCCCCCCAUAAAAAUCAAAUGGUAGCUCCAUAACCGAUAAAUUGAUCCUGAAUCAGAUAAGAUUUUCCAAGUCACGGAGAACCUCUUUUAAAAUUGAGCACAAAGUCGCCUGAAGAUUUAAUAAUAAAGCUACUAAAAAUAUUUUAUUUUACCCCAUUUUCGCUAUAAUUAUUAAAUCUUCAGGCGACUGUGCUUUGAGUGAAUAUAAAAAAUGA